rnacentral:rRNA from 1 species
UCGCAUCUGUGCAUGCAGCAUAUCAAUAAGCGGAGGAAAAGAAACUAACAAGGAUUCCCCUAGUAACGGCGAGUGAAGCGGGAAGAGCUCAAAUUUGAAAUCUUAAAGGGUUUCCCUUUACGAAUUGUAGUUUAAAGAAGUGUUUUCUGUUGAGGUUUUGGUAAAAGUUCUUUGGAAUAGGACAUCAUAGAGGGUGAGAAUCCCGUAUUUGACCUUUACUUUCAACUUUGUGAUACACUUUCAAAGAGUCGGAUUGUUUGGGAAUGCAGUCCAAAAUGGGUGGUAAAUUUCAUCUAAAGCUAAAUAUUGGCGAGAGACCGAUAGCGAACAAGUACCGUGAGGGAAAGAUGAAAAGAACUUUGAAAAGAGAGUUAAACAGUACGUGAAAUUGUCAAAAGGGAAGCGUUUGACACCAGUGUUGUUUUUCUGAAAAUCAAUUAAAGAACUGUUUAUGCUAAGUUGUUUAGACUUUAUCAGCUAUCUGUUUAGUUUUGAGCUUUUCUUUAAUGCACUUUUCAGUUAACAAGUCAACAUCAAUUUCUUUUGCUGUAAAAAAGCUUGAGGAAGGUGGCUUGAGAUUCGUCUUAAGUGUUUAUAGCCUCUUGCCUAUGCAGUCGGAGAGAUUGAGGUCUGCAGCGUAGAUCCUUCGGGGCUAAAUGCAUUUGUGCUAAGUUAUAGCAUUUUAUAGACAACUUGUUGACUAUGAUUUGUCUUGUAGCUUACUCGCUUAUGUUAUUUUACCUACGCUUAGGAUGUUGAACGCGCACAGAGUCUC